GCCGCCUUAGCUCAUCUGGUAGAGCAGCGCCCUUGUAAAGCGCAGGUGAUCGGUUCGAGUCCGAUAGGCGGCUCCA
rnacentral:tRNA from 3 species